GAUGAACGCUGGCGGCGUGCCUAAUACAUGCAGGUCGAGCGAACAGACGAGGAGCUUGCUCCUCUGACGUUAGCGGCGGACGGGUGAGUAACACGUGGAUAACCUACCUAUAAGACUGGGAUAACUUCGGGAAACCGGAGCUAAUACCGGAUAAUAUAUUGAACCGCAUGGUUCAAUAGUGAAAGACGGUUUUGCUGUCACUUAUAGAUGGAUCCGCGCCGCAUUAGCUAGUUGGUAAGGUAACGGCUUACCAAGGCAACGAUGCGUAGCCGACCUGAGAGGGUGAACGGCCACACUGGAACUGAGACACGGUCCAGACUCCUACGGGAGGCAGCAGUAGGGAAUCUUCCGCAAUGGGCGAAAGCCUGACGGAGCAACGCCGCGUGAGUGAUGAAGGUCUUCGGAUCGUAAAACUCUGUUAUUAGGGAAGAACAAAUGUGUAAGUAACUAUGCACGUCUUGACGGUACCUAAUCAGAAAGCCACGGCUAACUACGUG
rnacentral:rRNA from 1 species